rnacentral:pre_miRNA from 1 species
ACAUACUUCUUUAUAUGCCCAUAUGGAGCUCGGAGCUAUGGAAUGUAAAGAAGUAUGUAU